UAGUUAUCAUGCAAUAAUUUCGAAGUUUGUUUUAGGAAAUAGGUACAAAAUAAAGUGCAUCUCAGUUACUAUUCUAUUUCCAAUGGUCAAAUAUGUGGCGUAGUACAUUAGGGAUCAAUUCGCACUGAGGAUGCCUAGCGGUCUUCUCUCGGUAUCUAGCUAUCACGUCUAUUUUACCCCCAUUAUAUAUGCAUCCACUCAAGCCAGGGUGCACGAGCAGACAUCUUCCUAGAAACAUCAAUACGGCAUGUAACUGACAGCUCCCUCAUUCCACCUGGUUUCUUCCACCUCCAUAGAACUUCAAACUUGCAAGCUAUGGUCUGAUGAUGAAUCCUUCGCCAACAUGCAAGAUUCAAUGAUCGAUGAGCACAUGUUUGGAAAUAAGUGGUACCGGGAUAAGUAGCUUAUGUGGUUUCUCACACGAACAUGAUCAUAACUUUGCCUUCUUGUCUUGUUCGUAGCCUUUUCAAGUUGUGCUUCUGAGGACCCUAUAUUUGGUUCGUCCGUCUAGGGCUUAUCCCUUGGCUUCUCCUCUAUAAUGAGUUGGUUUGACCCUAACUAUGAAGCAAGGAGAAAACAAAUUUUUCAAAAAUAAUCAUAGAUGGCACACGAAUCAUUGUACAAUGAUCUACUGCAAGCCAGUCUGUUUUUGUUGUGCUCUUGACCCUGCGUUAUGUAUGAAGUGUAUGCAUCUCAAUAGCUCCUUGUAAGCUCAUCAAUUUUUCUGUGUGCAUCUGGUUGUUUGAGGAAAUUCGACCAACAAUCAUAUGUCAAAGCUUGAAAGACAAUUAUGUCUCAAAACUUGACCAACAAUCAUGAAUACGGCUAAUCUCUUCUUAAAUGUAUGUUUUAUAAGAAUUAAUUAAUUUCGACAUUAUUGUCCUGUAAUAGUAGAGCCCCUCAAUCAACAAUACAUCCUUAACUCCAAAGCUACGUGUCACUAACAUUUGGGUCCACACUUGACUGGCCCAGCAAUAAGUGACCACUAACCAUGAACAACGCUUAAACCAUGAAACCAUCAUCUACACAACGCCAACAACAUCACUGCCGCCACCAACCGAACUAAGAGGGGAAUGAUUGCAUAUUCCCUAGCAAUAUCACUAACAUGCAUAUACCAAUAUAGAUUAAGAAUACAAUAUGCACGUGGAUUAUCUCGUGUGACUACUCACAAGCAGCCUCUGGUCAUCUCAAGCCACGGCUCGUUUUGAAUGCGUAAGGUAGAUAAUUGUCUUUCUUUUCUUAAAAAAAACUAUGCACAAGCUUGUAGGGCCAUGAACAAAUCCAUACAGAAUAACAGCGCCUCAUAUUGCUUACUCAACACAUACUAUGAUGUCUAUAGAGGCUGAUUUAUCUUUAUACAAGAUUGUAUUAUUGUGCUAAACAUAAGACGCGACAAUGUUAUAGUCCUAUGUGGCCUUUUUCUCACUGAAGGGGUGUUCUAUGGACGUAUGUAUCGAAAAUGGUCUUUGGUGGCCGAGCUACCUGAAGGCCGGAAUCAGAUCCGUUAGUGCUUGUCGCGAUCAGUGCCAAACAGGUUUCCUGGCUACUGUAUUCAACCGUAUUCUAUAGAAUAUACAGCUCCAUGUUGCUCGUAUUUGCUAGCAAAUAGAAAGUGCCGGCUCGCGUACACUAGUAGGCACAAGUAUGCUGCACACUUGCACGUCUUGUCAAGCACGGAACACGUCAGCUACACAUUUUGAAGCCACACAUUUUGACGACAAAACAACAUUGCCCUGCACCGGAAACCCAACAGCUCUAAAAAAUGAUUAUGUAAGAACAACACCAAAGAUACAGAGUUUCCACUAGAAAAAUUGAACAGUCUACAGCAGUUUCAGGGCCGUUUUGCCUAUUGACAAUGUGAAAACCAAAUAAAAUCAACCAUAGAUGUCUUGCUUUUGCCUAUUGACAAUGUGAAAACCAAAUAAAAUCCUCUCUCAUAUCUGCAGCGGUCGUAUCCCCAGGAGCGAGGUCGUUUGAGUUGGCAACAUUCUCACUCUCGUCCAGAUGUCGGAUCUGCUCUUCGUCGCCACCACCAUCCACGGGUUCAGAAGAAAUCACACAAUGGAAGGGCCCUCGAGUUCUAUGGAUGGAAGCAACCACAGACUCGACAACAUCGAUUCCGCAAACCAAAAUAUCACCGCAUCCACCCUAGGAACGAGCCUACAACACACACAUGAUACUCAUCUCCGUCACAUCCAUCCAACAAGGGAAUGAGAAGUAGGCAAGAAUCAAACAAAAUCAAACGAAUCAACACAAAUCCCAGUUCCCAGCAUAGAAUACGCCCCUUGCUUGCAUACGGAAGAGCAGGAGAAAUAUACAUGGCGGAUCGGUCCUACCCUGAACCCUAAACCUGCAACUUGACAUAAACAAUGAGCUUUUGCACUUGUAACUAAGCUCCGUCUUUAGUAGUACUAGGAAAUAAGAAUGACCAUCAUCAUUACUAAAUGACCAAAAAAUGUCCAUCUUUAGUAGUACUAAACAAUGAUUGAUGCCCAUUUGUAAUAAACAAUGACCAUCAGCCAGCAUGAACUAAGCAUUCUAGAGCCUAAACUAAGCAUCACCAAAAACAGAGCAGCCCCAAGACAGAUCCUACAGUGAAAAAUGUAAAUACAAAAUAUAUCACACGGAUUUUCACCGUCUGAGCACACACUAAAAACCAGCUGCCUGUCCCAAAUCCUUCAAAUGCUACGCGACGCUCAGGUGGCAGCCGAUGCUCCGAGCAAACAUCCAGGGCCGAAAUCUCGAUGCUCAUGUAGUCUUCGUCUUUGAUGCUAGCAGGGAUCUAAAGAACCAACCAAAAAUCUGAGACAAAUCCCCGUCCCCCCAAUUCAAGAAACAGAAACCCUAACCCUAGCUCUACAACUGACCUGGUACUGCAUGCCAUCGGAGGAAGAGUUGAUGUCCAGGUUGGACAUGUCGUUGCUACUUUCAUCCUCAUAAACCAUGGCGCGGCAACGGUGGUGGCGGUGGACGACGAUCGGCGGCGAAGGGGCAGAGGCGAGGGAGUGCGAGGAGAAGGGGGGAAAGGAGGCGACUGGCUCGGUCGACGGGGCCCGAGCCAGUUACAGUGAGCGAUCGAGCCGGUUCGGUCCGCGUCGCGCUCGUGUACGCCACUGUGUCGGCUGACAUGCAGACUAGGUCUGUCAGAUACGUGGUCAAUACGCGUUUAUACGCCUGUCAGGACGUUUCGCAACAAUUAGUGUGUGAAGUGGUACUAACGUGCAAAUUUUUUGACUAGUGGUACCUAUCCGAUACGACGUCCCGGUACUGCCUUGCAAUUAUCUCUUGCGCAUGUUAGGUGAAGGCGUAGCCGACGCUUAGUUUACGCAGACGACACCGUCGUUCGUCGCCCACGCGACCAGUGCCUACUCCUCCGCUUGGUACUUUGUCCGAGAGCUUCACCAAGCUCCGCUAUACACUACAAGCAAAGGAAUUUGUUCGGGCCGCCGAGAAUCGUCGUCACCAUCUCUUCUUCCCCGCCUUCAGUAUUGACCUCUACCGCCUCGAUCUCUUCCUCCGGCGGCCCAUGCUUCCUUUCCUCUGCUUCCCAAUCAUAGUGGUUCUCGCCUGAAGCUGUUAGUCACGUUCAUUUGGAGCCGCGCAUCCCGAGGACCUCUUUCGGCGUGGCCGAGCUAUAGCGCGUGUUGUAGUUCUUCGCCAGGGCGACCAACACCUCCUCCUCACCAUGAAGCCUUGUCCUAAGAGAGUGGAUUUUCAGCUCCCGGGUGCCUAGGCACCCUCUAUGAACAGUAAAAUCAAAAUAAAUAGAAAACAAAAUAAGAAAAAUAUGAAACUUUGCAGCAUCAAAUAUGAUGAAAGUUUGUAGGUGUUUGCAAGUUUUCAUGCCAAAAAACUAUUCGAGGAGCUCUACACACGGAAAAUAUUUCAAUGCUUGAAGUUUUGAGCACUUUUUAGGUGUAAUCUGAAACUUGUUUGUACAUCUUUCUCUAUAUGAUAUUUUGCCAUGAAAACUUGUAGGAACCUAGCUACAAAGUUUGAUCAUCGUUGAUGCUGCAGAGUUUCAGAUUUUUUUGAUUUUUUUUUUACUGUUUAUAGAGGGUGCCUAGGCACCUGGGAGCUAUCACACCUUUCUCUUGUCCUAAAGCCUCGCCUUGAUCUGCUAUACAUUACUGCUAAAAGAAUUUGUCCGGGCUGUCGAGAAUCACCGUGUCCCAUGUCUUCUUCCCCGACUCUCGCAUCGGUCGCCGCCACCUCGAUCUCUUCCUCUAGCAAACAAACCCUAUCCUCCCGUGCCUACCGAGCUGCAUGGUGCUCACUUGAAGAGCACGAGACCACGGCCAUCCACGGAGCAAAGCUUUGUGAGCCCUGGUAUCGGCAUCAACCUCGCGCGCCCACAGCCAUCCUCUGUACAUGAAAGGCACGGUCCUACUGCUAUCCCUUGCUGAGUGCACGCUCGUCUAGGGUGGCACGGUAGGGUGAAGGUGCAGCUGGGCGUGGUCGCGGCCAUAAGUUCGCGGACCCGGCCGGCCGAGCGCCGUCGGCGGAGUUGCUACGCACGUGGGCGCGCAUGGCGCAGUUGAGGCCACUGAUGAAGAUGCUGCCAGAGACGUUGCUCCUCUAUAGCAUCACCUCCCCUCCUCCUUAGCCGCGGGCGCGUCCAUGGAUGCGAACACCGUCGUCCUAUCCGGCAUCGGUGGGAUGUACAUGAUGUAGUGUGCGAACUUGGAACUCGCGUCGGCACCGUCCCCACGACGCGUACCGGCUCCCCCCGCUUCGGUGGAUCGGUGAGACCUACAGCGUCAGGGUGGAGGAGUCGAUGGAGUACCUUGGCACGGGGCUCGUGAGACCGGACCCCCUCAUCACGACCCCAUCCCCGGGGCUCCCGCCGCCACCGGCCUUCCCUUCCGUCGGCGACACGGUCACCGUCACCAGCUAGCCUGCCGGCAAUGACAGCCGCUGCGACAUCCCUCCACCGAAUCACCUCCGGCUGAUCAAGAAUUCCAGAUCGAACUGGGGAUUUUUUUGCAUGCCGAACCAGCAGUGUCAGCUCUAUCCUAGCCCCACCUAACAAAUAGACCCCAUCCAGGUCCAAACUGCCAUUGACUAGUGCCACAUCAGCGAUGGGUGGAGACAAACCAGAAGGGGGUGUUUUAUCCGGUUUGGGUUUGUUGGGGGCUAGAAGAAGCAGAAAAAUGAUCAGGGGGUAAAGUGAACCACCCACUUUAUUCAGGGUAGUAAAAUGAACUUUUUUAUAUUCAGUUUGAGAUUUCACUGUUAAACUGCAGUUGGGUGAAGCAGCAAGUUAGUUCAGUGUGCUUGUUUUUUUGGUUCACUGUUAAAUAUAGUGCCUUGUUGCUUCACUUUGUCAACCCAUUUGAUCAAAAAUUUCUUAACCCAUUUAUGUAAACAGUUUAAACCCACGAUUGAGGGCUUGGUUUAGUUUGGUUUGGUUAAAAUUUUCAGCAAGUUUGGUUUUGGUUGGGUGUUAAGCUAGCUCACAUGGGUUUAGUUCAGGUGUCAAGCUAGCUCACGUGAGUUUGGUUGAAGUUUGGUUUAGGCAUCAAACUAUUCUCAGAUUUACUCUCAGGAACCAAAUACCUCCUAAGUUUCAUGUUGGUUGGCCUAGUCUGGAGUAGUUAUGCAAGCAAUCAAACAACUCAUGUGAACAUCUGGUGGUUCCAUACAGAGUUACAGACAGCCAUAUGGCUUGCAUGUGACAUGCCUUGUCAGUAUUUGCACGGAGCAGUACCUCGUGCACCUAGGCUCUCAAGUGUUUCCACCUCUUAUUACUCUUCCUUGUUAUUCUGCAUCUAUAAAUAUAUGUAUACAUCCUUAUGUUUCGUUAGUCAUACGAGACACAAGCUCAAUCCUCUCUUGGUAGGAACACAUGAAAAUCUUAGAUGCAGAGGAGGUGGAGAUUUGUUUUUCUUUAAUUCUUCAGAAUGAGCGGCACCAGAAAGUAUCUUCAUAGGUUGUGAGUCCCCACAGGUGUCAUUAUCAUUGUAGAUCUUAGCUAACCCACUUCUCCUACAUCAAGAGAAGGCAGAGAUUCUUAAGAACAUGGUUAAUAGUAUAUCCAGCUGAUAGCUAUAUGAUGUUCAAGCGCAAAGACAAGGGGGGCGAGGAGGGCUAUACGCUUCUUCUUGUAUGCACAAAAGGGGUCAAUGGCUCCUGUGCGACGUUUUUGAGGUGAAUUGGAAGGAGUGCGACGUCGUUCGUCUGAAUUGACUCAGUGCGUCGUUUACGACCGAGGAAAUAUCCCACACACGACAUGGCCCUUAAUCUGAACUGAUGCCCUCAUUAGCUAUACGGAGCUGGACCCACAACUUAUCCACGUAAGCACGGGCCCCACUUGUCAGUGCAUCAGGUCAAACGUAUCCCCGUGCCUGUCUGAAUGAGUAUCUCUGUCUGAACCUGUGUUGCUCCCUCCUCUUCGUUCCCGGUGGUGAGCCAGCGGCGGCGGCGGAGCUUUUGUUCUGGGUGACAGCAGCGGCGGCGCUUUCGUUCUCGGCGACGUCGACGGCUGUGGUGAGAGCAUCCUCUGUUUUCCUCUAUUCUCGAGUUCGAGCUCGAGGAAUACACAGAAGUCACCACUCACAUCUUCAAACUUUCACAUCUGCACCACCGCCUCCCAAAGACCGGCGGCAUCCAGGUCGGCCUCCACCUUAAUGGCCCAGGUGGUGAAGUUCUCCCCUGUGAGAAAGGGGCGCCCGUGAGCAAGGAGACAGACGUCGCCAUCGCAGUCCCCGAUCCACCAGGGUACGGCACGAGCGCCAUGGCCGGCGACCUUCCGCUCUCAACCUAGCUCUGAUGCCAAACGUCAGGACAAAAAUGGAACCGCCAUGCUCCGGCGAUCACCGGAGACAACGAGCAAACGCGAGAACGACAAUGCCCACGGUUCUCCGGUGCACAAACACCUUGUCGGAUCGGAGAAGGAAGAAGAACAGGGACAUGGCGAGGUGGUUUUUCCGGCGCUCGAACGCCCUCCCUUGAGCUCAGACUCAACACACACACUCGCCAGCGAGCUACACAACAGAGAUUUAUACCCGCAAGCACUUCCUUCACACAGCAUCCUGCUGGACAGAAUCUUAGAAUAAUUACUGGGAAUAAUUGGCUAAAUAAAAUGAGCUCAACAUUUGUUUAGAGAGGUUUUAUAGGUAAGAGAAUGUCCUAGUAAAAUUAGUCAAUUUAUGGAGCAACAUAAAACAUA
rnacentral:lncRNA from 1 species